GCUAAAAAUCUAGCUCCACCUCAACCCAUGUAACCUCUCUCCCCCUGCCCCCACAUUAAAACAUUUUAACACUUUAGUAAAGGAGAUUGAAAAACUCAUUGAAGCAAUAAAAUUAGUACCGUAAGGGAAAGAUGAAAUAUAAAUGAAAAACCUUUAAGCAAAACAAAGUAGAGCUCCACCCUCGUACCUUUUGCAUCAUGGUUCAACUAGUUCAACCAAGCAAAAAGAAUUACAGUUUGACUUCCCGAAACUAGGUGAGCUACUUCGGGGCAGCUUUAAGAGCCAACCCGUCUCUGUGACAAAAGAGUGGGAAGACCCCUAAGUAGUGGCGACAAACCAACCGAACCUAGUGAUAGCUGGUUACUCAAGAAAAGGAUCUGAGUCCAACCUAAAGUCCACCUAUUACACUAAAAAUAUCCCCGACUUUAGAGCAAUUCAAAUAAGGUACAGCCUAUUUGAAACAGGAUACAACCUCACCCGACGGGUAAAAUUACUACUCUAACCCCCAAGUGGGCCUAAAAGCAGCCAUCUUUUAAAAAGCGUCACAGCUUAAUCUUUUUCUACCCUAAAUUCCCACCCCUUAUCUCAACCCUCUACCAGUAUUGAGUAAUCCUAUAUCUUUAUAGAAAAUUUUAUGUUGAAACUAGUAACAAGAAGCAAAACCUUCUCCUAAAUGCAAGCACAAAUCAGAAAGGACAAACCACUGAUAAUUAACGCCAAUGACCACCAAUCAGCAACUUCCCAAGAAAAACCUGAUUUUUUCCCACGUUAACCUGACACUAGAGCAUUACAAGAAAGAUUUAAAGAGAAAGAAGGAACUCGGCAAACAUUAACCCCGCCUGUUUACCAAAAACAUCGCCUCUUGAAUUAAAAAUAAGAGGUCCAGCCUGCCCAGUGACCAAUGUUCAACGGCCGCGGUAUCCUAACCGUGCGAAGGUAGCGUAAUCACUUGUUCUUUAAAUGUGGACUAGUAUGAACGGCAUCACGAGGGUUAUACUGUCUCCUUUCUCUAAUCAGUGAAACUAAUCUCCCCGUGAAGAAGCGGGGAUAAAACUAUAAGACGAGAAGACCCUAUGGAGCUUUAAAGUUCUUUUCAAACGCCAAACCUCUUCCAAGUCACAGACUCCUGCACGAAACCACGCGCCAUGAAGACAACUUUUAGGUUGGGGUGACCAUGGAGUAUAAAACAACCUCCACGCUGAACAGGCCUCUAAACCUUGAGCCAAGGACCACAGCCCGCCGCACUAAAAAAUUAACACACAUUGAUCCAAUGAAUUUUGAUCAACGAACCAAGUUACCCUAGGGAUAACAGCGCAAUCUACUUCAAGAGUUCCUAUCGACAAGUGGGUUUACGACCUCGAUGUUGGAUCAGGGUGUCCCAGUGGUGCAGCCGCUACUAAUGGUUCGUUUGUUCAACGAUUAAAACCCU
rnacentral:rRNA from 1 species